UCUUGCUUGAUUUCAGUGUCCUG
rnacentral:piRNA from 1 species